UGACGAACGCUGGCGGCGUGCUUAACACAUGCAAGUCGAACGAGAAGAGAUGAGAAGCUUGCUUCUUAUUAAUUCGAGUGGCAAACGGGUGAGUAACGCGUAAGCAACCUGCCCUUCAGAUGGGGACAACAGCUGGAAACGGCUGCUAAUACCGAAUACGUUCUUUUUGUCGCAUGGCAGAGGGAAGAAAGGGAGGCUCUUCGGAGCUUUCGCUGAAGGAGGGGCUUGCGUCUGAUUAGCUAGUUGGAGGGGUAACGGCCCACCAAGGCGACGAUCAGUAGCCGGUCUGAGAGGAUGAACGGCCACAUUGGGACUGAGACACGGCCCAGACUCCUACGGGAGGCAGCAGUGGGGAAUCUUCCGCAAUGGACGAAAGUCUGACGGAGCAACGCCGCGUGAACGAUGACGGCCUUCGGGUUGUAAAGUUCUGUUAUACGGGACGAAUGGCGUAGCGGUCAAUACCCGUUACGAGUGACGGUACCGUAAGAGAAAGCCACGGCUAACUACGUGCCAGCAGCCGCGGUAAUACGUAGGUGGCAAGCGUUGUCCGGAAUUAUUGGGCGUAAAGGGCGCGCAGGCGGCGUCGUAAGUCGGUCUUAAAAGUGCGGGGCUUAACCCCGUGAGGGGACCGAAACUGCGAUGCUAGAGUAUCGGAGAGGAAAGCGGAAUUCCUAGUGUAGCGGUGAAAUGCGUAGAUAUUAGGAGGAACACCAGUGGCGAAAGCGGCUUUCUGGACGACAACUGACGCUGAGGCGCGAAAGCCAGGGGAGCAAACGGGAUUAGGUACCCCGGUAGUCCUGGCCGUAAACGAUGGAUACUAGGUGUAGGAGGUAUCGACCCCUUCUGUGCCGGAGUUAACGCAAUAAGUAUCCCGCCUGGGGAGUACGGCCGCAAGGCUGCAACUCAAAGGAAUUGACGG
rnacentral:rRNA from 1 species